rnacentral:rRNA from 1 species
UGCAAGUCGACGCCCCUUCGGGGGAGUGGCAGACGGGUGAGUAACGCGUGGGAACCUACCUUUCGGUACGGAACAACAGUUGGAAACGACUGCUAAUACCGUAUACGUCCUUCGGGAGAAAGAUUUAUCGCCGAUAGAGGGGCCCGCGUUGGAUUAGCUUGUUGGUGAGGUAAUGGCUCACCAAGGCGACGAUCCAUAGCUGGUCUGAGAGGAUGAUCAGCCACACUGGGACUUAGACACGGCCCAGACUCCUACGGGAGGCAGCAGUGGGGAAUAUUGGACAAUGGGCGAAAGCCUGAUCCAGCCAUGCCGCGUGAGUGAUGACGGCCUUAGGGUUGUAAAGCUCUUUCAGUGGUGAAGAUAAUGACGGUAACCACAGAAGAAGCCCCGGCUAACUCCGUGCCAGCAGCCGCGGUAAUACG